rnacentral:lncRNA from 1 species
GUUUACUCAAAAUUACCUGAAAUAUCAGAAUUCUUCCUCAUUCGAUCAGAUAGUGAUUCUUUAAAUAUUAUGUGAGGAUAGGGGCUGGCCCCCUGGCGCAGCGGUUGAGUUUGCGUGUUUCACUUCUUGGUGGCUCAGGGUUCACUGGGGUUUAGAUCCUGGGUGUGGACAUGGCACCACUUGGCACGCCAUGCUGUGGUAGGCAUCCCACAUAUAAAGUAGAGGAAGAUGGGCAUGGAUAUUAGCUCAGGGCCAGGCUUCCUCAGCAAAAAGAGGAGGACUGGCAGUAGUUAGCUCAGGGCUAGUCUUCCUCAAAAAAAAAAAAAAUAUUAUGUGUGGAUAAUAAUAACUUUAGCAUUUCAAAAUGUCAAAUAUGUUCCCCAGGUUACCAUUACCUUCAGAAGUUAAUUCAUUAUUUCUCAUCAGAACUAUAAGGUAGAGAAACCAGUUGGUGGAUAUAUUCAACUAACAAAAAUUUAUUUAUUCUUCUCUGUUAGGCAGAGAUAUGAACACCUACUCUGCCCUACAACUCUUAUAACAGAUGAUGGAGAAUAAUAAGAAACAUGUAUCAACCUUUGAGAAUGUCCCCUUUGCCAGUCACUUUACCUUUCUGCAUCAGAUACAAGUGACCAGAAGAGAAACAUGUAUAGACAACCAUCCUUCAAAAAUGGAAGAUGAGAAUUCCUGUGGAGGAAAGACACAGCCUUUCAUCCCAAGUGGUCAGAGAAUCUUCUCAAGUCAAAUAUGCAGACCGUAAUAUGCCUGAACAUUGGUAUUAUGUUGCAGCUAUAUGGCCAUGUUCGAGGAAGUUGAAGAGGAAACAAAUAAUGAAGUAUUCAAUAAAUGAAUAUUUCUAAAAAGCAGGCGAGCAUGGAGCUAAUAACUCAACACGAAAUUUUCCUUGGAAAAGGAGAAGUAAAUGAGAAGUAAGGGAUGAUGGAGGCCAUCAGUUAUUUUGAGGUGAUGAAACAGGUGGACAUGCAAGCGACUACUGAGAGUAUAUUGAUAUCUUCAUUAGGACACAAGACCUGCCUCAUAAUUUGGAUGGCCAAGUGCAGAACAAAAAUGAAGAGCCUAUAUUUCAAAAAUUAAGAAUUUCAGGAAGGUAACAACAGAACUUUAGGACUUUAAGCCAAAUGUGGGC